rnacentral:rRNA from 1 species
CCUGGCUCACGCCGGUYUAAACUCAGAUCAUGUAAAAUUUUAAAGGUCGAACAGACCUAAUUUAUUAGCUUCUACACCAAUAAUUUCUUUUAAUCCAACAUCGAGGUCGCAAUCUUUUUUUUUAAUUUGAACUCUAAAAAAAAAUUACGCUGUUAUCCCUAAGGUAAUUUUAUCUUAUAAUCUUAAACUAAGGAUCAAUUAUUCAUAAAUAAAUGGUCUUAUACAAAAAAAGUUUAUCUAAUUUUUCAAUCACCC